UACGUAGGGUGCGAGCGUUAAUCGGAAUUACUGGGCGUAAAGCGUGCGCAGGCGGUUUUGUAAGCCGGAUGUGAAAUCCCCGGGCUUAACCUGGGAAUGGCAUUUGGGACUGCAAGGCUGGAGUGUGGCAGAGGAGACUGGAAUUCCUGGUGUAGCAGUGAAAUGCGUAGAUAUCAGGAGGAAUACCGAUGGCGAAGGCAGGUCUCUGGGCUGACACUGACGCUCAUGCACGAAAGCCAGGGGAGCGAACGGG
rnacentral:rRNA from 1 species